rnacentral:lncRNA from 1 species
UGCACCACUGCAAACCACAGUGGUUGAAGGAAUGAGAAACUGUAUCUUAAAAAAAAAAAAAAAAAAAAAAAGGAUGAUUUGAGAUUCUCUAAGUUCCCUUCAUUCAAACUACUUCACAGAGGCAGAAGCCAGGAAGGCAAGAAGGCAGGAAGACAGGAAGGUAGGAAGGCAAACAGGCAAAAGGGAAAGGAAAAGAAAAAGAUAAAGAAAAAAAGAAAAGAAAGUAAAAGAGGCAGCAGAGGCUAAAGAAGCCAGCCAGCUCUAGAAAGGAUUCACAAAAAUGAGAAAUACCCUCAGGUCUCUUCAGCCUGAUGGCUGCCCUGGCUGUUCCCAGGAUAAUUUGACAAGAACCAGAAACAAAGAGUAUGAUCUAAAUCAGAAGUUAGGAAGCCAGUGUGGUAUAAAUGGACUAGUUCACUAUAGAAGACAGUGUUUAAGGAACUGAAUUGAUUGGCAUUGUGAAACUGUAGGUGAGUUCCUUAGUCUUUCUAGCCUAUUUUUUUUUUUUUCUAGUGCUGCAGGGGUGUGGAGAAAUUGGCAGGAGCAAGAUGACAAAGCAGUGAGAAGGGACAGUGAGGAGACGUGUAUUCCCACUAUUUGGUGUGCUGAGCCAAUGUGAGUUCACCAUAGAUCACAUGGACACCAAAGAAUGUGGCUGGGGUUGAACCAUCUUGCAAAAAUUCUUUCCUUCCUGGCCCCACAAAGCUAAUAGCCAUGGUAGAGGCUUGGGAUAGG